UGUGCAUGGAUAAUAAUCGGGUAUGAAGCCCGGUGCCGAAGCCGUGGGAUGUCUUUUAUGACAUCGGUAGGGGAGCAUUCAUGCGGCCUUGAAGCCCAAGGGACGACCUUGGGUGGAGCUUCAUGAAAAGCAAAUGUAGGUAUAAGUAACGAUAAAGAGUGUGAGAUGCACUCUCGCCGAAAGACUAAGGUUUCCGGGGCAACGUUAAUCGGCCCCGGGUCAGUCGGGACCUAAGGCUCAUCCUAAUGGAGAGGCCGAUGGCAGAAACGGUUAAUAUUCCGUUACUAUCCUUUGGGGCGAUGUGGAGACGGAGGAGUGACACUUCCGCGGGC
rnacentral:rRNA from 1 species